ensembl:lncRNA
GCAAGACCAGCCGUGGUGGGAAAAGAGCAGAAACACAACAGGAACUUUUUUAUCUUCUAAAAAUGAUUUAUUAAUACAAUAUGGUAUAGUACACCCCAUAGCAUAGUAUGACUGGCAGAAACCAGAGAAGGCAAAAGUAGAGAAAACACUAAACAAUGAUCCCAUUCCCACAUCUGUACGUGACUGAGUAAGCAGUACAUAAUCACAUUAAACCCUUGCUAAAAUCAUGGUCAGCAAAUUGAAUAAAAUAAAACAUACAAAUGGCAGGAAAUGCAGUUUGUCCCAUCUCCAAGAACUCUAUGAUGCCGUCCCAGGUGCCUUCACUCCAACAACUCCGUCCCAGGUGCCUUCACUGCGACAACUCCAUCCCAGGUGCCUUCACUCCAACAACUCCGUCCCAGAUGCCUUCACUGCGACAACUCCAUCCCAGGUGCCUUCACUGCGACAACUCCGUCCCAGGUGCCUUCACCUUCACUCCGAUAACUCCGUCCCAGGUGCCUUCACUGCGACAACUCCAUCCCAGGUGCCUUCACCUUCACUCCGAUAACUCCGUCCCAGGUGCCUUCACUGCGACAACUCCGUCCCAGGUGCCUUCACUCCGACAACUCCGUCCCAGGUGCCUUCACUCCGACAACUCCAUCCCAGGUGCCUUCACUCUGACAACUCCAUCCCAGGUGCCUUCACUCCGACCUAGGUGCCUUCACUCUGACAACUCCAUCCCAGGUGCCUUCACUCUGACAACUCCAUCCCAGGUGCCUUCACUCCGACCUAGGUGCCUUCACUCUGACAACUCCAUCCCAGGUGCCUUCACUCCGACCUAGGUGCCUUCACUCUGACAACUCCAUCCCAGGUGCCUUCACUCCGACAACUCCAUCCCAGAUGCCUUCACUCCGACAACUCCAUCCCAGGUGCCUUCACUCCGACAACU